rnacentral:rRNA from 1 species
AUUGAACGCUGGCGGCAGGCCUAACACAUGCAAGUCGAGCGAGCGGCGUACGGGUGAGUAAUGUAUGGGGACUGCCCGAUAGAGUGGGAUAACUACUGGACACGGUAUCUAAUACCGCAUACUAUCGGAUAACCCAUAUGGGAUUAGCUGGUAGGGGAGGUAAUGUCUCACCUAGGCGACGAUCCCUCGCUGGUCUGAGAGGAUGAUCAGCCACACUGGGACGGAGACACGGCCCAGACGACUACGGAGGGAGCAGUGGGGAACAUUGCACAGUGGGGGGAAGCCUGAUGCAGCCAUGCCGCGUGUAUGAAGAAGGCCCUAGGGUUGUAAAGUACUUUCAGUGGGGAGGCGUUACCGGCAGAAGAAGCACCGGCUAACUCCGUGCCAGCCGCCGCGGUAAUAC